UGGGGUUGUAGCUCAGUUGGGAGAGCGCAGCGUUCGCAACGCUGAGGUCGAGGGUUCGAGCCCCUUCAACUCCACCCA
rnacentral:tRNA from 1 species